UCUGCCCCUAUGGGCUUCGCAGGUACGGUUGCUGGAGGUGGCAGAGAGGAAACAGGCUAUAUCUAGCCUCAGUGUUCUGACCUGUGAACAUCUGCAUGAUUAGUAGCCUAACAGU
ensembl:snoRNA Gm25770 predicted gene, 25770